rnacentral:rRNA from 1 species
GACGAACGCUGGCGGCGUGCUUAACACAUGCAAGUCGAACGGAAAGGCCCUGCUUUUGUGGGGUGCUCGAGUGGCGAACGGGUGAGUAACACGUGAGUAACCUGCCCUUGACUUUGGGAUAACUUCAGGAAACUGGGGCUAAUACCGGAUAGGAGCUCCUGCUGCAUGGUGGGGGUUGGAAAGUUUCGGCGGUUGGGGAUGGACUCGCGGCUUAUCAGCUUGUUGGUGGGGUAGUGGCUUACCAAGGCUUUGACGGGUAGCUGGCCUGAGAGGGUGACCGGCCAAAUUGGGAUUGAGAUACGGCACAGACUCCUACGGGAGGCAGCAGUGGGGAAUAUUGCACAAUGGGCGGAAGCCUGAUGCAGCAAAGCCGCGUGCGGGAUGACGGCCUUCGGGUUGUAAACCGCUUUCGCCUGUGACGAAGCGUGAGUGACGGUAAUGGGUAAAGAAGCACCGGCUAACUACGUG